AACGCGAAGAACCUUACCUAGGCUUGACAUGCAGAUGAAUAUAUCAGAGAUGAUAUAGUCCUUCGGGACAUCUGCACAGGUGCUGCAUGGCUGUCGUCAGCUCGUGCCGUGAGGUGUUGGGUUAAGUCCCGCAACGAGCGCAACCCUUAUCAUUAGUUGCCAACAGUUCGGCUGGGGACUCUAAUGAGACUGCCUGGGUUAACCAGGAGGAAGGUGAGGAUGACGUCAAGUCCGCAUGGCCCUUAUGUCUAGGGCUACACACGUGCUACAAUGGUCGGUACAGAAGGCAGCGAAACCGCGAGGUGAAGCAAAUCCUAUAAAGCCGAUCCCAGUUCGGAUUGUAGUCUGCAACUCGACUACAUGAAGUUGGAAUUGCUAGUAAUGGCGUGUCAGCAACAACGCCGUGAAUACGUUCCCGGGCCUUGUACACACCGACUAGAC
rnacentral:rRNA from 1 species